rnacentral:lncRNA from 1 species
AUGAUCAAAUUAGAAGAUACUGUCUCACCCCCUUCUAAUUGUACUGUGUGUCUCCUCCUUUUUCAGUUGCAUCUGUAUGAUAUUGAAAGCUGCUCUAAGACAAUGAUCCUCAACUUCUGCUCCUACGUACAGUGGGUUCCUGGAAGUGAUGUCCUGGUAGCUCAGAACAGAAACAACUUGUGUGUGUGGUACAAUAUUGAGGCACCUGAGAGGGUCACCAUGUUCUCCAUCAGGGGUGACGUCAUAGGUCUGGAGCGCAGCGGGGGAAAGACCCAGGUGAUGGUGACAGAAGGUGUGACCACCGUUGCCUGCACGCUGGAUGAGGGCCUCAUUGAGUUUGGAACAGCCAUCGAUGACGGCAACUACACCCGAGCAACAGUCUUCUUGGAGACCCUACAGAUGACCCCCGAAACAGAGGCUAUGUGGAAAACCUUGAGUAAACUGGCGCUGGAGGCAAGGCAGCUCCACAUAGCUGAGAGGUGCUUUUCUGCUUUGGGUCAUGUGGCAAAAGCUCGAUUCCUGCAUGAGACCAAUGAGAUCGCAGAUCAGGUGUCCUGGGAAUUUGGUGGAGAAGGAACAGACUUCUAUCAGGUCCGAGCACGUCUGGCCAUGCUGGAGAAGAACUACAAACUGGCUGAAAUGAUCUUCUUGGAACAGAAUGCUGUUGAGGAGGCUAUGAACAUGUACCAAGAGCUACACCGUUGGGACGAGUGUAUCGCUGUGGCUGAGGCCAAGAGGGACUGGAGAAGCACGGAAAGCAGGACAAGGAGGGCUCUGAUGCCGGGCUCCUCUGCAUGUGCAGGGACAUCCAGCCCUGGAGAAGCUGCGCCGGGAUUACUACCAGUGGCUGAUGGACACGCAGCAAGAGGAGCGAGCAGGUGAACUUCAGGAGAGCCAAGGGGAUGGGCUGGCAGCCAUCAGCCUGUACCUCAAAGCUGGGCUUCCCGCCAAAGCGGCUC